rnacentral:rRNA from 1 species
UACGUAGGGUGCAAGCGUUAAUCGGAAUUACUGGGCGUAAAGCGUGCGCAGGCGGUGAUGUAAGACAGUUGUGAAAUCCCCGGGCUCAACCUGGGAACUGCAUCUGUGACUGCAUCGCUGGAGUGCGGCAGAGGGGGAUGGAAUUCCGCGUGUAGCAGUGAAAUGCGUAGAUCAUGCGGAGGAACACCGAUGGCGAAGGCAAUCCCCUGG